AGUGAACGCUGGCGGUAGGCCUAACACAUGCAAGUCGAACGGCAGCACAGUAAGAGCUUGCUCUUACGGGUGGCGAGUGGCGGACGGGUGAGGAAUACAUCGGAAUCUACUUUUUCGUGGGGGAUAACGUAGGGAAACUUACGCUAAUACCGCAUACGACCUACGGGUGAAAGCAGGGGAUCUUCGGACCUUGCGCGAUUGAAUGAGCCGAUGUCGGAUUAGCUAGUUGGCGGGGGAAAGGCCCACCAAGGCGACGAUCCGUAGCUGGUCUGAGAGGAUGAUCAGCCACACUGGAACUGAGACACGGUCCAGACUCCUACGGGAGGCAGCAGUGGGGAAUAUUGGACAAUGGGCGCAAGCCUGAUCCAGCCAUACCGCGUGGGUGAAGAAGGCCUUCGGGUUGUAAAGCCCUUUUGUUGGGAAAGAAAAGCAGCAGGUUAAUACCCCGCUGUCCUGACGGUACCCAAAGAAUAAGCACCGGCUAACUUCGUG
rnacentral:rRNA from 1 species